ACUCAAGUAGCUUAGAGAUUAGAGCAUUACACUGAAGAUGUAGGGGGGACGUGUCCGUCCUUGGGUA
rnacentral:tRNA from 1 species